AUUUUUAUUUAGAGACAUGAGAUAGAAUUAGUAUAGUACAGAGAAGAUUCUCAUGCCUCUAUGUAAGGAUGAUAUGCACAAAUAGAGAAAUGGUCUAGAUUUAA